rnacentral:lncRNA from 1 species
CUUAAGGCCAGAAGUUGUGUGAAUUAAGAAAAAGAAGAGAAGUACAGGAGAUAUCAUUAAAUUAUAUAGUUCUCUCUUCGACUGUAGCCUUAUAACAGGGACAUUAAUAGAAUUAACAGUCGCGACUCAGGGAUAAGCCUGAGACACAUGGAGAGAACAUCCUGAUCAAUCUGGUCUUUGCUGCUACCCUGGUCAACAGCCUGAGCUGGAUACCUGGCUGACAAGUACCACCUUUUUCCUACACAGAUGACAACCCAGCCCAUGAGCACCAGGAAAAUUAAACAAAAAGCCGAAAGAAAAAAGAAAAGAAGAAGUCUGGGAGUGAAGUUAUAUGCUUAAAGGCAUGCAUCUAGCAAAUGGCAAAAAAAAUGGAUGAAGACACAAGACUGAUUGUCACUAAAAACCAUGUGGUAUGUUUGAGCAAGGUCAGUGCCACGGUAGAACCACUUGUGACCACAUGCCAGCUAUGGGUAUAACUAAAAAACAUGAGUAGUCAGAAAUCAUUUUCCAAUUAUGUCCCUCCGUUUGUUUCACUCCAGGG